GACGAACGCUGGCGGCGUGCUUAACACAUGCAAGUCGAACGGGCCUUGUCCCCUUUUUUUUUGGUGGUGGGGUUAGUGGCGAACGGGUGAGUAACACGUUAGUAACCUUCCCCUCACUUCUUGAUAACCGCUUGAAAGGGUGGCUAAUACGGGGUGUUCUGGCCUGCUCGCAUGGGUGGGUUUGGAAAGAUUCGACCGGUUUUGGUGGUUGUGGUGGGGGAUGUGCGCGCGGCCUAUCAGCUUGUUGGUGGGGUGAUGGCCUGACAAGGCUUUGACGGGUGGGCGGCCUGAGAGGGUGGGCGGUCACACUGGGACUGAGACACGGCCCAGACUCCUACGGGACGCAGCAGUGGGGAAUACUGCACAAUGGGAGAAAGCCUGAUGCAGCGACGCCGCGUGAGGGAUGGAGGCCUUCGGGUUGUGAACCUCUUUCGCCAGUGAAGAAGGUCCUGCUCUUUGUGGUGGGGUUGACGGUAGCUGGGUUAAUGAAGCGCCGGCUAACUACGUG
rnacentral:rRNA from 1 species